rnacentral:lncRNA from 1 species
AGGUUAUGGGGCUAGGUAAGGUUUAAGGUUUUUGGCGUGAGGGUUAAAAUCACUGUCCAAAACCUUUGUAGGAACUCUUUUCCAACCUUUUGGAGUUAGUUAGACCAAAAAAAAAAUGAAAAAUGAAAAAACAAUAUUUGGGGUGUUCAAGCUUCCUGAAGGUAAUACCCGGGUAUUAGGUUAUGGGGCUAGGGAAAGGUUUAAGGUUUUUGGCGUAAGGGUUAAAAUCACUGUCCAAAACCUUUGUGGGAACUCUUUUCCAACCUUUUGGAGUUAGUUAGACCACAAAAAAUGAAAAUAAAAAAAAAAAUAUUUGGGGUGUUCAGGCUUCCUGAAGGUAAUACCCGGGUAUUAGGUUUUGGGGCUAGGGUAAGGUUUAAGGUUUUUGGCGAUAGGGUUAAAAUCACUGUCCAAAACCUUUGUAGGAACUCUUUUCCAACCUUUUGGAGUUAGUUAGACAAAAAAAAAAAAAGAUAAAUUAAAAAAAAAUAUUUGGGGUGUUCGGGCUUCCUGAAGGUAAUACCCGGGUAUUAGGUUAUGGGGCUAGGGUAAGGUUUAAGGUUUUUGGCGUAAGGGUUAAAAUCACUGUCCAAAACCUUUUUUAAGGAACAUGUUUCCAGACCUUUGGGAGUUAGUUAGACAAAAAAAAAAGAAAAAGAAAAAAAAAUAUUUGGGGUGUUCGGGUUUCCUGAAGGUAAUACCCGGGUAUUAGGUUAGGGGCUAAGGUAAGGUUUAAGGUUUUUGGCGUGAGGGUUAAAAUCACUGUCCAAAACCUUUGUAGGAACUCUUUUCCUACCUUUUGGAGUUAGUUAGACAAAAAAAAUAAAUAAAUGAAAAAAAAAUAUUUGGGGUGUUCGGGCUUCCUGAAGGUAAUACCCGGGUAUUAGGUUAUGGGGCUAGGUUAAGGUUUAAGGUUUUUGGCGUGAGGGUUAAAAUCACUUUCCAAAACCUUUGUAGGAAGUCUUUUCCAACCUUUUGGAGUUAGUUAGACAAAAAAAAAAAAGAUAAAUGAAAAAAAAAUAUUUGGGGUGUUCGGGCUUCCUGAAGGUAAUACCCGGGUAUUACGUUUUGGGGCUAGGGUAACUUUUAAGGUUUUUGGCGAUAGGGUUAAAAUCACUGUCCAAAACCUUUGUAGGAACUCUUUUCCAACCUUUUGGAGUUAGUUAGACAAAAAAAAAAAGAUAAAUUAAAAAAAAAUAUUUGGGGUGUUCGGGCUUCCUGAAGGUAAUACCCGGGUAUUAGGUUAUGGGGCUAGGGUAAGGUUUAAGGUUUUUGGCGUAAGGGUUAAAAUCACUGUCCAAAACCUUUUUAGGAACAUGUUUCAGACCUUUUGGAGAUGGUUACACCAAAAAAAAUGUAAAAUGAAAAAAAAAAAUAUUUGGGGUGUUCGGGCUUCCUGAAGGUAAUACCCGGGUAUUAGGUUAUGGGGCUAGGGUAAGGUUUAAGGUUUUUGGCGAUAGGGUUAAAAUCACUGUCCAAAACCUUUGUAGGAACUCUUUUCCAACCUUUUGGAAUUAGUUAGACAAAAAAAAAGAUAAAUGAAAAAAAAAUAUUUGGGGUGUUCGGGCUUCCUGAAGGUAAUACCCGGGUAUUAGGUUAUGGGGCUAGGGUUAGGUUUAAGGUUUUUGGCGUUAGGGUUAAAGUAACUGUCCAAUAUUUUUUAAGGAACAUGUUUCAGACCUUUGGGAGUUAGUUAGACAAAAAAAAAAGAAAAAGAAAAAAAAAUUAUUUGGGGUGUUCGGGUUUCCUGAAGGUAAUACCCGGGUAUUAGGUUUUGGGGCUAGGGUAACUUUUAAGGUUUUUGGCGAUAGGGUUAAAAUCACUGUCCAAAACCUUUGUAGGAACUCUUUUCCAACCUUUUGGAGUGAGUUAGACCACAAAAAAUGAAAAAUAAAAAAAAAAUAUUUGGGGUGUUCAGGCUUCCUGAAGGUAAUACCCGGGUAUUAGGUUUUGGGGCUAGGGUAACUUUUAAGGUUUUUGGCGAUAUGGUUAAAAUCACUGUCCAAAACCUUUGUAGGAACUCUUUUCCAACCUUUUGGAGUUAGUUAGACCACAAAAAAUGAAAAAAAAAAAUAUAUAUUUGGGGUGUUCAGGCUUCCUGAAGGUAAUACCCAGGUAUUAGGUUUUGGGGCUAGGGUAACUUUUAAGGUUUUUGGCGAUAGGGUUAAAAUCACUGUCCAAAACCUUUGUAGGAACUCUUUUCCAACCUUUUGGAGUUAGUUAGACAAAAAAAAAAAAGAUAAAUUAAAAAAAAAUAUUUGGGGUGUUCGGGCUUCCUGAAGGUAAUACCCGGGUAUUAGGUUAUGGGGCUAGGGUAAGGUUUAAGGUUUUUGGCGUAAGGGUUAAAAUCACUGUCCAAAACCUUUUUAGGAACAUGUUUCAGACCUUUUGGAGAUGGUUACACCAAAAAAAAAUGUAAAAUGAAAAAAAAAAUAUUUGGGGUGUUCGGGCUUCCUGAAGGUAAUACCCGGGUAUUAGGUUAUGGGGCUAGGGUAAGGUUUAAGGUUUUUGGUGAUAGGGUUAAAAUCACUGUCCAAA